UUUUCCUCUCUCCAUUUUAUCACUCUCCAAGCCAUGCUGCAUCUCGCGCACUAUUCCUGCCUUGGAAAAGAUCCCAGAAAAGGAUUGAAACAUGUUGGCUUUGUGUGGCCUAUUCGGUAGAUGGUGAAGGAUUCUGGAGCCGUUGCCUAACUAGGAAAUAUGCUGCUGUUGUGAUCUGGGCCACCCGCAGUUGCAUAACACACAGAGAAAGGCAAGAGGCAAUAAACAUUGAAUGGGCUGCUGAGUUUGAACAAGUGGUCAGAACCAAAGAUCUGAAAGAGAACCUCGAACAUACAAAAACAAAAAAGAAGAAGAAAAAGGAAGGAAGGAAGGAAGGAAGGAAGGAAGGAAGGAAGGAAGGAAGGAAGGAAGGAAGGAAGGAAGGAAGGAAAGAAGCAGUGAGCCCAGGAAAAAGUCAUCCUUAGCCAAGAUGGAGUACCAUUUAAAUGGCAGCUACUACAGUAAAGGGCCAUACACACUAGACGAGUAUUAUGACCGAUAUGGCAGAUACCGACGAUUGUGAACAAUAAAUCGUUCACAUCAUUUAGUGUGUAUGGUCCUAGCAAUCAAUGAUGCGCGCACUCACGAUCAUUGAUUGCAGGUUGGAGGUGCAGCAUGCUCAAUGUGAGCAAUGUCACUUGUGACACCGCUCAUCACAGUAUGUGUGUACGGAGCCGCAAUGAGCGAUGUUCACAAUGUAAACAUUGCUCCUCCUCCGCGGCAGCACCCCUCUCCACGGCAGCGGCUCCCUCCCCGACAGCAGCUCAAUUCUAGCUGAGCCACUGAUAGGAGCUGCACACCCAGCAUCUCCCACUGCCCUACCAAUUAAUUUUCUCCCACUGCCCCACCAAUGUAGUUCUUUUCACCCACUGCCCCACCAAUCUCCACU